GCGCACGCUGGCGGCAGGCCUAACCCCUGCCAGUCGAACGAACUCUUCGGAGUUAGUGGCGGACGGGUGAGUAACACGUGGGAACGUGCCUUUUGGUUCGGAAUAACUCAGGGAAACUUGUGCUAAUACCGAAUGUGCCCUUCGGGGGAAAGAUUUAUCGCCAUUAGAGCGGCCCGCGUCUGAUUAGCUAGUUGGUGAGGUAACGGCUCACCAAGGCGACGAUCAGUAGCUGGUCUGAGAGGAUGACCAGCCACACUGGGACUGAGACACGGCCCAGACUCCUACGGGAGGCAGCAGUGGGGAAUCUUGCGCAAUGGGCGAAAGCCUGACGCAGCCAUGCCGCGUGAAUGAUGAAGGUCUUAGGAUUGUAAAAUUCUUUCACCGGGGACGAUAAUGACGGUACCCGGAGAAGAAGCCCCGGCUAACUUCGUG
rnacentral:rRNA from 1 species